GUUAUACAAUAAAUGUUAUUUAAUUGUUUGGUUAGUUGAAGUUAAGUUUUAUGUGAGUUUAAUUUGUUUAUUUUAAGGUGAAAUUUAAAUAGUUAUUAUGCUUAUUUCGGUUCUUUUAAAAUCAAGAUUUAAACUAGGAUUAGAUACCCUAUUAUUUUGUUUAUUAAUCUUCCAGGGUAGUAUUAGCUAUAUUCUUAAAACCCAAAGAAUUUGGCGGUGUUUUAGUCUGUUUAGAGGAAUUUGCCCCUUAAUCGAUAGUCCUCGUUUUAUCUUGCUUGAUUUUGAUUUCAGCAUGUAUACCGCCGUUAUAAGUUUAUUUUUAUAGAAUAAUUUACUUUAUAGUUUAUUUUCUAAUAUUUCAGGUCAAGGUGCAGA
rnacentral:rRNA from 1 species